rnacentral:ncRNA from 1 species
AAAGGUUUGGUCCUGACCUUAAAGUCAGCUGAUACUUAACUUAUACAUGCAAGUCUCCGCACUCCUGUGAGAACGCCCUAAAUUCCCUCCUGGGAUAAGGAGCUGGUAUCAGGCACAUUUUAUAGCCCAAGACACCUAGCUAUGCCACAUCCUCAAGGAACUUCAGCAGUAAUUAAAAUUGAAUAUAAGCGUCAGCUAGAUUCAGUUAAAGUAUAGCAGAGUCGGCUAAACUGGUGCCAGCCGCCGCGGUUAUACCAGUUGACCCAAGUUGACCUAAUUCGGCGUAAAGCGUGGUUAAAGUGUUUUUUAAUUAAAAUUAAAUUUUCACUAAGCUGUGACACGCUUGUGCAAGAGAAACCCAUAAACGAAAGUUAUUUUAAUCAUAGUAACUUGAAGCCACGACAGUUAAGGUACAAACUGGGAUUAGAUACCCCACUAUGCUUAACCGUAAACCUUUAUUUACACCCUCAACGCCCGGGAACUACGAGCAAAGCUUAAAACCCAAAGGACUUGACGGUACCCCACAUCCACCUAGAGGAGCCUGUCCUAUAAUCGAUAACCCCCGCUUAACCUCACCAUUUUUAGCAUAUCAGCCUGUAUACCUCCGUCGUCAGCUUACCACGUGAGCGUAAUCCAGUAAGCUUAAGGUUCUUUUACAUCAAUACGUCAGGUCAAGGUGCAGCAAACAAAAUGGAAAGAGAUGGGCUACACUUUCUAACUUAGAAAACACGAAAGACUAUUUAUGAAACCUAGUCAGAAGGCGGAUUUAGCAGUAAAAAUAAACCAGAGAGUUAUUUUUAAUUUGGCACUGGGGUGUGUACACACCGCCCGUCACCCUCUUCGAAGCCACUAAUUAGUAAAUAACAAAUUUAACGCAUUUAAGAAGAGGUAAGUCGUAACAUGGUAAGCAUACCGGAAGGUGUGCUUGGAAA